rnacentral:lncRNA from 1 species
GGAGUGGGAAAGAGGUGGCAUCGGCAGUUCAAGACUGAUUUUUCUAUCUCUUCAGUGCCUCUUUCAACAAUAUGAAGUUCAAACCAGGUUUUGUGCAAAUAUCUGCUGAGUAAACUACUUAUUUGAAAAGACAUCAUUGGUUAAUAUUCCCUUUUGCUCAUUGAAAUCUCAAAGACUAGAGACCCAGCACAAGACAUUCUGACAUUCCCGUCUUUGAAAUGAAUGACAACGAUGGUAAAUGUGGCUCACCUCCAGAGAUACAGAUCUCACAAUUUCAUAUUUUUAAUAUACAUUAUUAAUCCGAGAUGCAGAGAGAGAUAAGACCCAUGAUAAUCAAGCCAUAAACAGAUGCAUUUACUAACUAGCUGAAUGCCCAACAAUGGAAUUCAACAAAUCCAUCUUGAGCACGGCAACCAGGAGUGUGGUGCAAUUCCGUUAGAUGAAAGAGAUCUACACAUUCAGAAGCACAUGAUUCUUCCCCCUUCCAUGAUUCCAGUGGCCAAUAGACAAACUGCAAUAAAGCCAUGCCCCGACUGGAUGUGCCUAACAUUUGUCUGGUGCUUAAAGGAGUUGGCUGCAUGCAUGGGAUGGAAAAGGAUUCAACAUUUAAUGGCAGUUAGAAUCAAAUUUUUAACUCAAGAAGGCAGAAGGAAUCCACCUAAAUAAAUGUUGGAAAGUCACCAAAAAUAGUUCUCCAAGUCAGAAGCGGUGCAAAAGCUGCCUCAACUCUUGGUGGAUUUUCAAUUUCUCCCAGCCAUCUCUGUUUCUCUAAAGGUUUCUGAAGACAGUGGGUAUGUGGCAAAAUUCUGCAGUUCUAUAUUAAGAUAAACUGUUAGAUCAAU